rnacentral:rRNA from 1 species
AAAAGUUAGUAGUAACUUAGGUGGUCGGACGGGUGACGGUAACGACGUGGGUAACCGUGCCUUACUACAGGGGGAUAACGAACUUAGAAAUAGUGCUAAUACCGCAUAAGCGCACAGUCCCGCAUGGGACAGAGUGAAAACAUUAGUGGUGUAAGAUGGACCCGCGUCUGAUUAGCUUGUUGGCGGGGUAACGGCCCGACCAAGGCGACGAUCAGUAGCCGGCCUGAGAGGGUGGACGGCCACAUUGGGACUGAGACACGGCCCAAACUCCUGCGGGAGGCAGCAGUGGGGGAUAUUGGACAAUGGGGGAAACCCUGAUCCAGCGACGCCGCGUGAGUGAAGAAGUAUUUCGGUAUGUAAAGCUCUAUCAGCAGGGAAGAAAGAAAUGACGGUACCUGAGUAAGAAGCCCCGGCUAACUACGUG